UACGUAGGGUGCAAGCGUUAAUCGGAAUUACUGGGCGUAAAGCGUGCGCAGGCGGUUUUGUAAGCCAGAUGUGAAAGCCCCGGGCUCAACCUGGGAACUGCAUUUGGGACUGCAAGGCUGGAGUACGGCAGAGGGAGGUGGAAUUCCACGUGUAGCAGUGAAAUGCGUAGAGAUGUGGAGGAACACCGAUGGCGAAGGCAGCCUCCUGGGCUAGUACUGACGCUCAGUGCACGAAAGCGUGGGGAGCAAACAGGA
rnacentral:rRNA from 1 species